ACGCUGGCGGCGUGCCUAACACAUGCAAGUCAACUUGACUGAAGGAGCAAUCUGACAGUAGAGUGGCGCAAGGGUGCGUAACGCGUAAGUAACUGCCCCAAGGUAAGGAAUAACGUCGAGAAAUCGGCGCUAAUACCUCAUAAUGCAGCGGAUCCGCAUGGAUAUGUUGUUAAAGGUUUACCGCCUUGGGAUAGGCUUGCGUCUGAUUAGCUAGUGGUGUGGUAACGGCACACCAAGGCUACGAUCAGUAACUGGUCUGAGAGGAUGAUCAGUCACACUGGAACUGAGACACGGUCCAGACUCCUACGGGAGGCAGCAGUGAGGAAUAUUGGGCAAUGCUCGAAAGAGUGACCCAGCAACGCCGCGUGGAGGAUGAAGGUAUUCUAUAUCGUAAACUCCUGUGAGAGCAGACGAAAGACAGAUUAUUAAUCUGGAUGACUGUAUGCUCAGAGGAAGCCCCGGCUAACUACGUG
rnacentral:rRNA from 1 species